rnacentral:rRNA from 1 species
UACGUAGGGGGCAAGCGUUGUCCGGAAUCAUUGGGCGUAAAGAGCUCGUAGGCGGUGUGUCACGUCGGCCGUGAAAACCUGCAGCUUAACUGUGGGCGUGCGGUCGAUACGGGCAUCACUGGAGUUCGGCAGGGGAGACUGGAAUUCCUGGUGUAGCGGUGAAAUGCGCAGAUAUCAGGAGGAACACCGGUGGGCGAAGGCGGGUCUCUGGGCCGA